GUGAAUCAUCAAAUUUUUGAACGCAAAUUGCACUCUCUUCGGAGAGUAUGCCUGUUUGAGGGUCAGCCUAUAAAAAAUCGACAUAGUCGCUGUUUCGCGGUGGCGUUCGUCGGAAAUUGGGUCAUCUUAAACCUUUGUGUUUUUUACGAGGCAUAAAAUUUUCUUGACGAUUUGACGAACUCUUCU
rnacentral:misc_RNA from 1 species